CUCCAUGGAUUCUCAUGAGCUCUGUGUUGCUGCUACUGGAGGCUGGUCUCCAAGGCAGUGGUAGCAUAGAAAGGGAGGAAUGAAGGCAUCAUGAGGAAAUACUAGACCAAAAGCAAGAAUAAAACCUGAAAGGGAAAAUAACAAAUCCUGUAGCUUCAUGUCCAGUGUCAAAAGGCAUGACUCUGCCCCUCCAGAUAUCCUGAUUGAAAUACAGCUUUCUCUCAGCUGGUUCCACUUCCUGUGAGGAGCUCAAAUGGACAGUCAUCUCCUAGUUUGCCGUGUCCAACGUCUUGUGUGCUUCAUCUUCUCAGCAUCAUGCAAUGGCCUCUCAGAACCGCUGGCCUCUCAGAGCUCUCUUCUCCAUGGAGUAAAGCUCUGCUACACUUGUCCUGGGCUCAGUAGCUCUCUGAAACCAAGGAGGAGGAAUCUACAAAACUGCUUCUUCCCUCUUUCACGUCUCCUCAGUCAGUAUGCAGGUGUAACAGCCAAUUUGGGAUGGACCUUGAACCUCUUGAAUUAUAUUUGGAGCAGCUUU